rnacentral:rRNA from 1 species
AGUGAACGCUGGCGGUAGGCCUAACACAUGCAAGUCGAACGGCAGCACAGUAAGAGCUUGCGCUUACGGGCGGCGAGUGGCGGACGGUUGAGGAAUAUUUCGGAUUCUACUUUUUCGUGGGGGAUAACGUAGGGAAACUUACGCUAAUACCGCAUACGUCCUACGGGUGAAAGCAGGCGAUCUUCGGACCUUGCGCGAUUGUAUGAGCCGAGGUCGGAUUAGCUAGUUGGCGGGGUAAAGGCCCACCAAGGCGACGAUCCGUAGCUGGUCUGAGGGGAUGAUCAGACAGACUGGAAGUGAGAAAGGGUCCAGACUCCUGCGGGGGGCAGCAGUGGGGAAUCUUAGGCAAUGGGCGAAAGGCUGAUACAGCCAAACCGCGUGAGUGAAGAAGGCGUUCGGGUUGUAAAGCGCUUUUGUUGGGAGAGAAGAGCAGCAGGUUAAUACGCCACUGUUCUGACGGUACCGAAAGAAUAAGCACCGGCUAACUUCGUG